UGCGGCCAUGCGUAGGGUAGUCUCUCAAACAACCACCUUCUUUUCUCUUGAUUGAGACGCCCAGCGGCGGUCAGGCUUGUGUUCGCCUGAUGCUGCUGUCCGGAUACGGGUGAGAACCCUGGCGCGGCGCUCGUUUCCAGUCCAUUGGUUUGAGCUCACAGACUGCCUCCUCCUCAUUCGAGUCGCCGCGGCCUCCAUCCCCGUCUUGUCUGAAUCUAUGUUUCAUCAGCAACAGCUUGAAGAUGAUCCACUUAAUCAUCAAUAGCUUCCAGCAUGCAAGCUCAUCCUUGCUGAUGCGUGGAUGACAUAUUGGUCCAGUGAAGUGCUGCUUCCAAGCCACAAAAAUGAAUGGCAGGUGUAUUUUGGACAAAAUGCGGUCUGCUGGAAAAUCUUUAUCAUGUCAGCAAACGGCGAAGGAAGGAUCAUCAAGGUUGGCUAUCCAGUUUAUGUUAUGCAGUCAUUCACUUCAUCUGAAUCUGAUGAAGUGCCAACCUGAGGGACCGAAUUAGGGCUAUUUAACAGCCACUUCGCGUACUCACUGCUAAAUGUGCACACUACCACAAACUGUAUAUCCAUGACGGAUCGUAGUGACAUACAAGUGUAUCUGUUCGCAAUCGGAUCCUGACUGACAAAAGUUCAGACAUGCUGGUUGCCCAAAAAAAUUCAGAUACUCUGUUGAAUCCAUUCAGAAGAUUUAAACC